GACGAACGCUGGCGGCGUGCUUAACACAUGCAAGUCGAACGCUGAACCCGCUUCGGUGGGGGAUGAGUGGCGAACGGGUGAGUAACACGUGGGCAACCUGCCCCCGGCUCUGGGAUAACUCCAAGAAAUUGGGGCUAAUACCGGAUGUGACCGCUGGCCGCAUGGUCUGGUGGUGGAAAGGGUUUCCGGCUGGGGAUGGGCCCGCGGCCUAUCAGCUUGUUGGUGGGGUAGUGGCCUACCAAGGCGACGACGGGUAGCCGGCCUGAGAGGGUGACCGGCCACACUGGGACUGAGACACGGCCCAGACUCCUACGGGAGGCAGCAGUGGGGGAUAUUGCGCAAUGGGCGGAAGCCUGACGCAGCGACGCCGCGUGGGGGAUGACGGCCUUCGGGUUGUAAACCUCUUUCAGCAGGGACGAAGCGCAAGUGACGGUACCUGCAGAAGAAGCACCGGCCAACUACGUG
rnacentral:rRNA from 1 species